rnacentral:lncRNA from 1 species
UCAAUUUGUUAAAAAUCAAAAACUAGUCAAAAUUAGCUAAAUAGAAAUGACAAGACGUAAAACUAUAUUUACAAUAAUUGGUCGAUAUGUUAGUUAUUCUAUAGAUUUCUUUUGUUUUUUUUAUUGUGUAUCAAUUUCAUUUUCUUCCAAAUUUCAAGUAACGCUAAAAAGAAGAUGGAAUUCGACAUUUUUUCUCUCCCAGGCCCGAUAACCAAAAACUUCCUAAAAUGUCUCAGAUCUGCUUUUUUCAUCCCAAAACCCUCUUUUUUACCGGAAAUAGCUAACGACCCCCCCCCCCCCCUUUCCUUCAAUCUUGACGACGAAACCUCCAUGGAUUCCCCCUGUUUCUUCUCCGGCCUGCUUGUUCUUUCCUCUCCCUGCUUGUGUCUGUCAAUGUUCAGCUCCUAAGCUCUUUUCACAUCCCAUCAUCAGCUCUCUCUAGCUCUUGCUAAGGUCUCCCUCAAGAACAAGAGCCGUUCAAAUUCAGGAAUCCAAAGAAUAUCAGCUCUGUUUCAAUCAUUUUCAGACUUUGUCUGCUAUACUCCUUACCCCCUAAAGCCCACGAAGAUGCUCCAAUCUCUCUACACAAAGGAGCAAGUCUGAAGAUCCAAAGGUGUAAAGAUGAAGACUGAAGACCUCUAGCCUUGUGCUAAGCCUUUUUCAUAAACUACGUCUCCUUGUUUUUUGACCACCAAAUCUCCCUCUCUGCAUCUUCUAGUAUGAAUCUCCGCCGCCGCUGGAAGCCAUCAUCACGUUUUUAUAUCAAGCCGCUUCUCUUAUAAGCAAGUCUGAAGCUUUCUCCCUUUUUGGAAAGAUUUGGUUGUUCUUUCAAAGGAAAGAAGAAGAAGGAGAGCGCUUUGGAAUCCUCCCAUCAAAAAAAAAUAACUCAAAGGGGUCUCAUCGUGCAUCUCCAAGUGUCUCCUCUUUUGCUCAGAUCUUGUUUUGGUUUUCCCCAUACUUGAAAAAUUUCUAGCUUUUGCUAAGAUUAUAUUUAUGUGAAUUACUUUGAAUGCCUUUGUAAAGCUUGAUCGCAGAACGGUUUAAGCAAUCUGAGUUUGAGACAAACAAAAGGAAAUAAAAAUAAAAUUUCAAAUCUAAAGAAAAAAGAAGGAAAGCUUGACCGCAGAAGACGUCGUGGUGGUGGAUCAGAUCACUUUCGGUGGUGGCGAAGAUUCUCUGCUCCGUAAUAGCCAUUCAUCGUCAUUCAUCGGC